rnacentral:rRNA from 1 species
AAAGGAAUUGACGGGGGCCCGCACAAGCAGUGGAGUAUGUGGUUUAAUUCGAAGCAACGCGAAGAACCUUACCAGGGCUUGACAUACAGACGGAUAACAUAGAGAUAUGUUAGUCCUUCGGGACGUCUGAACAGGUGGUGCAUGGUUGUCGUCAGCUCGUGUCGUGAGAUGUUGGGUUAAGUCCCGCAACGAGCGCAACCCCUGUUGUUAGUUGCCAUCAUUAAGUUGGGCACUCUAGCGAGACUGCCGGUGACAAAUCGGAGGAAGGUGGGGACGACGUCAAAUCAUCAUGCCCCUUAUGUCCUGGGCUACACACGUACUACAAUGGCUAUUAACAGCGGGGAGCGAAGGCGUAAGCCGGAGCGAAUCCUUAAAAAUAGUCCCAGUUCGGAUUGUGGGCUGCAACUCGCCCACAUGAAGUAGGAAUUGCUAGUAAUGGCAGGUCAGCAUACUGCCGUGAAUACGUUCCCGGGCCUUGUACACACCGCCCGU